AGAUGUGAGGGUGAUCUGGCUGUGACAUCUGUCACCCCUUUGAUCGCCAGGGUUGAUUCGGCUGAUCUGGCUGGCUAGGCAGGUGUCCCCUUCCUCCCUCACCACUCCAAGUGCGUCCCUCCCGAAGCUGCACGCUCGGUCGAAGAGGACGGCCUUCCCCGAAUAGAGACAGACCGGUCUUCGGUCGAGGGUAUACGAGUAGCUGCGCUCCCCUGCUAGAACCUCCAAAAGCAAUGGCAACAAUAACAACAAGGGCAACAAAAAUGGGAAAAAUGGCCUCCAGAAGCAGUGGAUUU
ensembl:misc_RNA 7SK 7SK RNA